rnacentral:rRNA from 1 species
UACGAAGGGGGCUAGCGUUGUUCGGAAUUACUGGGCGUAAAGCGCACGUAGGCGGACUUUUAAGUCAGGGGUGAAAUCCCGGGGCUCAACCUCGGAACUGCCUUUGAUACUGGAAGUCUUGAGUAUGGAAGAGGUAAGUGGAAUUGCGAGUGUAGAGGUGAAAAUUCGUAGAUAUUCGCAAGAACACCAGUGGCGAAGGCGGCUCACUGGCCCGAUACUGACGCUGAGGCACGAAAGCGUGGGGAG